UGUUUGAUAGUUUUGCAAUAA
rnacentral:piRNA from 1 species